rnacentral:rRNA from 1 species
UCGAGAAUCAUUCGCAAUGGGCGAAAGCCUGACGAUGCGACGCCGUGUGAGUGAAGAAGGCCUUCGGGUCGUAAAACUCUUUCGCCUGGGAACAAGAAAGGUUGGCUAACAUCCAACCAAUUUGAGGGUACCAGGAUAAGAAGCACCGGCUAACUCCGUGCCAGCAGCUGCGGUAAUACGGAGGGUGCAAGCAUUAAUCGGAUUUAUUGGGCGUAAAGGGCGCGUAGGCGGAGAUAUAAGUCAGAUGUGAAAUCCCGGAGCUCAACUCCGGAACGGCAUUUGAAACUGUAUCCCUUGAGGGUAGGCGGAGAAAUUGGAAUUCCACAAGUAGCGGUGAAAUGCGUAGAUAUGUGGAAGAACACCAGUGGCGAAGGCGGAUUUCUAGCUUACUCCUGACGCUGAGGCGCGAAAGCAAGGGGAUCAAACAGGAUUAGAUACCCCCGUAGUCC